AGUAUCCCAACAGACAUUAAUAUUACAAUAUAACGACAACUCACAGGUAGGGACGUGUGUGAACCCUGUGUGUUAGCUAGGGAUGGGCCUCGGGUUAUUCAGUAUCCCUACAGACAUUAAUAUUAAAAUACAACGACAACUCACAGGUAGGGACGUGUGUGAACCCUGUGUGUUAGCUAGGGAUGGGCCUCGGGUUAUUCAGUAUCCCUACAGACAUUAAUAUUACAAUACAACGACAACUCACAGGUAGGGACGUGUGUGAACCCUGUGUGUUAGCUAGGGAUGGGCCUCGGGUUAUUCAGUAUCCCAACAGACAUUAAUAUUACAAUACAACGACAACUCACAGGUAGGGACGUGUGUGAACCCUGUGUGUUAGCUAGGGAUGGGCCUCGGGUUAUUCAGUAUCCCAACAGACAUUAAUAUUACAAUACAACGACAACUCACAGGUAGGGACGUGUGUGAACCCUGUGUGUUAGCUAGGGAUGGGCCUCGGGUUAUUCAGUAUCCCUACAGACAUUAAUAUUACACUACUUUGUGUGAGUAUUCCUAUUUUUGAAUUGGUAGUUACAGUCUUGUCUCAUCGCUGCAACUCCCGUACGGACUCGGGAGAGGCGACGGUCGAGAGCCGUGCGUCCUCCGAAACACUAGCCAGCCAAGGACAGAAUGCGCGUUUUAUCCCGGAAGCAAACACCGAACACCUGGCGAUGUCACAGGAGUCGCUAGAGAACAUCCCUUCUUGCCAAACCCUCCCCUAACCCGGACGACGCUGAGCCAAUUGUGUCUUCCCGGUCGCGGCUCGCUGCGACAGAGCCUGGACUUC
ensembl:lncRNA